GCUGUAGCUUAGCGGUAGAGGGUCUGCCUUGCAUGCAGAAGGUCCCAGGUUCAACCCCCAGCAUCUCCA